GUCAAUAGUGCAGGCAGACGUUGCAAUUUAGUUGCAUGAUAAAGGCUGCAUCCCGACUGAAGUUUCAUCAGUUGACAGGGUUGAGCCAGAAAAGGGAGUUCGUUUGAGCUUCGCGAAACUCUUCUCAAAUAAAGCAGGAAUUUAGCACGUGGCAGUAAAAAGAUCAUCUAAGAAUGGAUACGUUUCUUUUCAACGCCAUUAUGACCAUCCUCUUAGCAGCAAGGCUCGGACAUAGUUUUCCUAUCUUAUAUCAGAAAGUUCCAUCCACCUAUGAUGAUAAAGAAUGUCCUCCCGGAUUCUUGCCUUGCGUUUCAGAAAACGAAGAGAAGGUUUCUAAUCAGGUCGGUGGGACUCAUUCGGGCGCACUCGCCACCAAUGCAACAAGUGCGAGUUUAGUCGAGGUGUCUACUCCAACAGCAUUACCCUCCAAAGCAACUGGACAGCAAAAGACACCCAAGGUCCCUUCUGGAGGAAAUAUGGAGGAAACAGGGGACUCAAAGACCAAGAGCCUGCAGCAUGGUAGCCACGAAUGUCCUCCAGGAAUCUGGGUUUGUUGAGCUACGUGUGCAGUCAUCGGACCUUUCCAACCAACCUUUUUGUAAUCAGAUGUUGCGGAAUUUAAAGCGUGUUACGUGUUAGAGCAGGAAAUCGAAGGACUUUAUGUUAUUUUGUUGCGUGUUGGUGGAAGUUUCUUUUGUCAAGUGCGAAUUUUCGCAGCGAGAAGGUUUAGCUUUAGAAUCUUUUCUUGAAAAGGGACACUUGCUCGUAAAUAUGUAGUGUUAUGUGGUAUUGCACGUAUUUAUAACUUCAAUUUCUGUUCUGAGUUCUGCUUUCAUUGAGUCACAGAAGUUGUGUUCGCGUGCAAACUUUUGGCAUUUUUAUUGGCGACAUUCGUAGUGCGGCAAUUAAUAGUAGCUGGCAGUAGUAUUUAUUUUAUUUAUUUUUCGCAAUCUUUCAGGGCUAUUAUAGUUGCGAUUACGUUUCAACCAACUCCAUUGCUGAUUGGCAUGUUUAACAUACAAUAGAGACGAGAGUUGAGAAUUUCAGGGGGGGAUAGGCGAUAUAGAUUUACAGAUCUUUAAGUAAAAUGUAGGGGUGCAAGUUGCAAGGGGCGCUCGAGAAAAUAGGCGCGCGAGCAAUACUUUGUAGGAGAAACAUUUAUGGAGUGUCGUACAUUUAGUAUUUCUUCCAAUAACAAAACAGGUUUAGUUUAGCGAAAUAAAGUGACAAUUGUCGAAGCACAGAGAAAUUCAAAAUCGAGAAUUCGUAGUCGUAAAACAGGGACUUGAUCGCUAUAGUUAUCUUCGGUAGUCUCUUAAUAAAUUUUCGAUAAAAAAUCA